rnacentral:rRNA from 1 species
UAACACAUGCAAGUCGAACGGUAACAGGAAGCAGCUUGCUGCUUUGCUGACGAGUGGCGGACGGGUGAGUAAUGUCUGGGAAACUGCCUGAUGGAGGGGGAUAACUACUGGAAACGGUAGCUAAUACCGCAUAACGUCGCAAGACCAAAGAGGGGGACCUUCGGGCCUCUUGCCAUCGGAUGUGCCCAGAUGGGAUUAGCUAGUAGGUGGGGUAAAGGCUCACCUAGGCGACGAUCCCUAGCUGGUCUGAGAGGAUGACCAGCCACACUGGAACUGAGACACGGUCCAGACUCCUACGGGAGGCAGCAGUGGGGAAUAUUGCACAAUGGGCGCAAGCCUGAUGCAGCCAUGCCGCGUGUAUGAAGAAGGCCUUCGGGUUGUAAAGUACUUUCAGCGGGGAGGAAGGGAGUAAAGUUAAUACCUUUGCUCAUUGACGUUACCCGCAGAAGAAGCACCGGCUAACUCCGUGCCAGCAGCCGCGGUAAUACGGAGGGUGCAAGCGUUAAUCGGAAUUACUGGGCGUAAAGCGCACGCAGGCGGUUUGUUAAGUCAGAUGUGAAAUCCCCGGGCUCAACCUGGGAACUGCAUCUGAUACUGGCAAGC